UGGGGAAUAUUGCGCAAUGGGGGAAACCCUGACGCAGCCAUGCCGCGUGAGUGAAGAAGGUCUUCGGAUUGUAAAGCUCUUUCAACGGGGAAGAUGAUGACGGUACCCGUAGAAGAAGCCCCGGCUAACUUCGUGCCAGCAGCCGCGGUAAUACGAAGGGGGCUAGCGUUGUUCGGAAUUACUGGGCGUAAAGGGCGUGUAGGCGGUCCGAUCAGUCAGAGGUGAAAGCCCCGGGCUCAACCUGGGAAUUGCCUUUGAUACUGUCGGACUCGAGUUCGGGAGAGGGUAGUGGAAUUCCCAGUGUAGAGGUGAAAUUCGUAGAUAUUGGGAAGAACACCGGUGGCGAAGGCGGCUACCUGGACCGAUACUGACGCUGAGGCGCGAAAGCGUGGGGAGCAAACAGGAUUAGAUACCCCCGUAGUCC
rnacentral:rRNA from 1 species